UACGAAGGGGGCUAGCGUUGCUCGGAAUCACUGGGCGUAAAGCGCACGUAGGCGGAUCUUUAAGUCAGGGGUGAAAUCCCGGAGCUCAACUCCGGAACUGCCUUUGAUACUGGGGAUCUUGAGUUCGGGAGAGGUGAGUGGAACUGCGAGUGUAGAGGUGAAAUUCGUAGAUAUUCGCAAGAACACCAGUGGCGAAGGCGGCUCACUGGCCCGAUACUGACGCUGAGGUGCGAAAGCGUGGGGAGCAAACAGG
rnacentral:rRNA from 1 species